UCAAUUAACAUCUUACUUAAAAUUUAAAUUCAAUUAAAAUCUAAAUUCAAACUUUGGUGUUAAUUCUUUUAUAUUAAUGUGUUAUUUUUUUUUUCGCUGUAUAUUUAUCUAAUUAAAAAAAAUGUGAUUUCUUAAAAAAAUUGGUUUAAAUAAUCUUCAUAAUGAAAACAAAAUGUUAUCUUAAAAAGAGUGGCCCAUGUACUUGUUUUCAACUACUGUAACACUAGCCCGUCAACAUUGAGGUUGUGAGUUCGAGUCCCGCAUGUGGCAGGUGCGUUCGACGCCUAUAUUCACUGACUAGGAUUGUCAGUUUUCCAACCGAAGGUUGGUGGUUCUCUCCGGGCACUCCGGCUUCCUCCACUAAUAAAAACUUUCUGCAACAAAAUAGCCAACAGUGCUAAAAGUCGCGUGUACACCAAUCAAUCAAUCAAACUUUAGUACCACUGAUAUCACCCAACAACUUAUCUGAAAUUAUUUUGCAUUUAUUUACAUGACUGUGAAGACAUUAAUAUUCUAUAUAUGAAAAAUAAUAGAUUUGGUGUAUACAUAAAUGAAACAGCAACCAAUCAACACGAAGCACCAAGUAAUUAUUACUAUGUGACAACAAAUUAGGGUAGAUUGGGGUAUAGACAUAUGGUCAUCCCUUGAUUCGCCCUUCCGGCAGUAAAACCUUUGCUAAAGAGGGUGUUCGUUUGGUUGGGUGCGAUGUACAAAUACACAUCAAUGUCUGGUUGGAAUGAAGACGUUAAAGCUAAAGCCUUGUGAAGGAUGAGUGUUACGCAGGAUCUCUGUACGUGCGAAAAAUUGCUGGGCUCCGUAGGUUGCAUGCUGCAAGGUACAAUUUCUUUCCGUAUCAAUCAAAGCGAAAAUGUCCCACGUUACAUUCCGGUCAACCUUUCUAUUGUAAUUAAUAUCAAUUCGUUCUAGUCCCGCAUAGGCAUGCAUCAUUUGACAUUGAACGUUAGACAAGCAAAAAUCAAUCAAGCAAGCAAGCAAGAAAUUAAUUAAUUAAUCUACUUGAAAAAAAAAUUUGUUUACUGGUCUGGUCUUUAUAUCAGUAAAUUCUUAUAUAAACAACGAUUGUUUAGUAUACCUAUGUCAAGCUUUAUAUAUACGGUUUUCGUCCAGGUUAAACUUUAUGCUAUAUCAUUACAGAAAGUUCCACUGUUUCCAGUACUACAAGCUACACAACCAUAAAUUCAAAAGUUGAAGAAAAUUCCACCGUUUCCAGUACUACAAACAUCACAAACGUAUAUUCAAAAGUAAAAGGUGAAAGACCUGACUAUAUAUGGAUAGCUUAUGUGGUGGUGUGUGCUUUAUUGCUCCCAUUAGUCGGUGUGUUCGUUGUCAAUUACAUACGUUUCAGAGGAGUAAGGCGAGAUGAAAAGCAAGAAAAAGAACAAUAUUCACCGUACGGUGACCUAUAGUUGUUAACUUCAAUGUCAUUUGGUCUCAGGUGGAGAGUUGUCUCAUUGACAAUCAUACCACAUCUUUUUAAUUUUACAGAUACGCCUGAAAAAGCGUAUACACACUAGUAUAAUGUAAUCCAAAUACUUUACUUACUUGAGUGUCUUAUUUAUUGUAUUCAUUUGUGAAUGAACUUUGGGAGAAUUUCAAAUAGAUAUGUAUGAUAAUUAAAAUUUAUUAUAAUGUAUAAAUUACAUUGUUAUUUUUGUUUUGUUUUGAGUAAACAACAAAAUAGAUAAAGCGAAAAUUCUGAUA